rnacentral:rRNA from 1 species
GACGGAGGGGGCUAGCGUUGUUCGGAAUGACUGGGCGUAAAGGGCGUGUAGGCGGUUGAUCAAGUCAAGCGUGAAAGCCCCGGGCUUAACCCGGGAACUGCGUUUGAUACUGUUCGACUUGAGGACGAGAGAGGAAAGUGGAAUUCCGAGUGUAGAGGUGAAAUUCGUAGAUAUUCGGAGGAACAUCAGAGGCGAAGGCGGCUUUCUGGCUCGUUACUGACGCUGAGGCGCGAAAGCGUGGGGAGCAAACAGG